GACGGAGGGGGCAAGCGUUGUCCGGACUUACUGGGCGUAAAGCGUCCGUAGGCGGCCUGUUGCGUCGGUGCUGAAAGCGCCGGGCUUAACCCGGCGAGGUGUGCCGAUACGAGCCGGCUCGAGGCCGACAGAGGGUGGCGGAAUUCCGGGUGUAGUAGUGAAAUGCGUAGAUACUCGGAGGAACGCCGGUGGCGCAAGCGGCCACCUGGGUCGGACCUGACGCUGAGGGACGAAAGCGUGGGGAGCAAACCGG
rnacentral:rRNA from 1 species